AGCGAACGCUGGCGGCAGGCCUAACACAUGCAAGUCGAACGGUCCUUCGGGACAGUGGCGGACGGGUGAGUAACGCGUGGGAACGUGCCCUUAGGUUCGGAACAACUCAGGGAAACUUGAGCUAAUACCGAAUGUGCCCUACGGGGGAAAGAUUUAUCGCCUUUGGAGCGGCCCGCGUCUGAUUAGCUAGUUGGUGAGGUAAAGGCUCACCAAGGCUACGAUCAGUAGCUGGUCUGAGAGGAUGAUCAGCCACACUGGGACUGAGACACGGCCCAGACUCCUACGGGAGGCAGCAGUGGGGAAUCUUGCGCAAUGGGCGAAAGCCCGACGCAGCCAUGCCGCGUGAAUGAUGAAGGUCUUAGGAUUGUAAAAUUCUUUCACCGGGGGCGAUAAUGACGGUACCCGGAGAAGAAGCCCCGGCUAACUUCGUGCCAGCAGCCGCGGUAAUACGAAGGGGGCUAGCGUUGCUCGGAAUUACUGGGCGUAGAGGGCGCGUAGGCGGACAGUUU
rnacentral:rRNA from 1 species